UACGGAAGGUGCAAGCGUUGUUCGGAAUGACUGGGCGUAAAGCGCACGUAGGCGGGUUUGUAAGUCGGAUGUGAAAGCCCUGGGCUCAACCUAGGAAUGGCACCCGAAACUAUAAAUCUUGAAUACCUAAGAGGUUGGCGGAAUUCCUGGUGUAGGAGUGAAAUCCGUGGAUAUCAGGAGGAAUAUCGGAGGCGAAGGCGGCCAACUGGUGGUGUAUUGACGCUGAGGUGCGAAAGCGUGGGGAGCAAACAGG
rnacentral:rRNA from 1 species